AUUGAACGCUGGCGGCAGGCCUAACACAUGCAAGUCGAACGGUAACAGGAAGCAGCUUGCUGCUUUUCUGACGAGUGGCGGACGGGUGAGUAAUGUCUGGGCAACUGCCUGAUGGAGGGGGAUAACUACUGGAAACGGUAGCUAAUACCUCAUAACGUCGCAAGCCCAAGGAGGGGGACCUUCGUGCCUCUUGCCAUCGGAUGUUCCCAGAUGGGCUUGGCUAGUAGGUGGGGUAACGGCUCACCUAGGCGACGAUCCCUAGCUGGUCUGAGAGGAUGACAAGCCACACGGGAAGGGAGAAACGGACAAGACUCCUACGGGAGGCAGCAGUGGGGAAUAGUGCACAAUGGGGGCAAGCCUGAUGCAGCCAGGCCGAGUGUAUGAAGAAGGCCUUCGGGUUGUAAAGUACGUUCAGCGGGGAGGAAGGGAGUAAAGUUAAGACCUAUGCUCAUUGACGGUAACCGCAGAAGAAGCACCGGCUAACUCCGUG
rnacentral:rRNA from 1 species